rnacentral:rRNA from 1 species
GGGCUUGCGUCCGAUUAGCUAGUUGGUGUGGUAAUGGCGCACCAAGGCUGAGAUCGGUAGCUGGUUUGAGAGGACGAUCAGCCACACUGGGAUUGAGAUACGGCCCAGACUCCUACGGGAGGCAGCAGCAGGGGAUAUUGCGCAAUGGGUGAAAGCCUGACGCAGCAACGCCGCGUGGGGGAAGAAGGUCUUCGGGUUGUAAACCCCUUUUCUCGGGGAAGUGACGGUACCCGAGGAAUAAGUCUCGGCUAACUACGUGCCAGCAGCCGCGGUAAGACGUAGGAGGCGAGCGUUAUCCGGAUUUACUGGGCGUAAAGGGCGUGUAGGCGGCCUUCCAAGUCUUUGGUGAAAUCUCCCGACUCAAUUGGGAGGGUGCCAUAGAAACUGGAGGGCUUGAGGACAGCAGAGGGGGGUGGAAUUCCCGGUGUAGUGGUGAUAUGCGUAGAU